AUUGAACGCUGGCGGCAGGCCUAACACAUGCAAGUCGAACGGUAGCACAGAGAGCUUGCUCUCGGGUGACGAGUGGCGGACGGGUGAGUAACGUCUGGGAAACUGCCCGAUGGAGGGGGAUAACUACUGGAAACGGUAGCUAAUACCGCAUAACGUCGCAAGACCAAAGGGGGGGACCUUCGGGCCUCACACCAUCGGAUGUGCCCAGAUGGGAUUAGCUAGUAGGUGGGGUAAUGGCUCACCUAGGCGACGAUCCCUAGCUGGUCUGAGAGGAUGACCAGCCACACUGGAACUGAGACACGGUCCAGACUCCUACGGGAGGCAGCAGUGGGGAAUAUUGCACAAUGGGCGCAAGCCUGAUGCAGCCAUGCCGCGUGUAUGAAGAAGGCCUUCGGGUUGUAAAGUACUUUCAGCGGGGAGGAAGGCGGUGAAGUUAAUAGCUUCACCGAUUGACGUUACCCGCAGAAGAAGCACCGGCUAACUCCGUGCCAGCAGCCGCCGUAA
rnacentral:rRNA from 1 species